AGGGUUAUAGUUAAUAAUAACAUCUGGGUUGCAUUCAGAAGGUGCUAAAACAGCUUUCCUUA
rnacentral:tRNA from 1 species